AUGGACUGGAGGGACGCACCUGAGUCGCCGGACCACGCCGGGCGAAACCCUAGCGACGGGAGAUGGUCGCGGAUGGCGCUGGAGGACGCGUGUGCCGGAUCUCGCCGGAUAGGAGGGAGGGGAUCCUUCUUCCACAGAGCCACCACCGUUGAACUGCGGCGGCGGAGACGGGCGAGCAACGACGUGGGGUGGAGGGGCGGGUCUGGGCAGCGGACCCGACGACACCGGCGCCUUCGGAGGAGCAGCGCCCUGGCCCGCAGCGGCCAUCAAAGCCCCGCCGGCGGCCACCGGCCGAGGACCGGAAGCCGGCCCGCCUCGCCCGCCCGCCGACAAGGUGGGAGCCAGCGGCUUCCCGGCGGGCGCCACACCAAGACCACCUGCCCCGCGUCCCGCCACAGCCUUGGGGGGGCCACUCGGCCCCGCCCAGCCCCAGGCGCCGGCGGCGGCACAAAAGCCCUCGCAGACCCGCUAGGUGCAGGCGGCCUCUUGCCCGGAGGAGGCGCACUGCCAGGAGCGGCCAUCGCGCGGAGUGGAGGGAUGCGGCGAGCCCGGCCCGGCCCCGCAGAACGGCGAUGCGGCACCCGACGCAGCAAAACCCUAGGUCUCGUCGUGCGCGGCGAAGGGGUGGGAGACGACGAACGUAGCGUGCAUGCGCCCCCCUCAAGAGUAUUGAUUGGAAUCGACUCCGGCUGGGCCUCAUACCCACCGGAACUCGGCCCAAUAAUACCACACGGCCCAACAUCUUGCGGCUCGACACGGCCCAGCAAAAAAUUCAAACGCACCCUUCGAGCGUCUCGGAUCGGGAUCGCCGUGACCGGCUGCGACGCAGCCGCGGUCACCUCCGGCGCCGAUCGAGAGCUCGUCCGGUCCUUUCCACGGCUUGAUCUUCAUCGACAAGGAUUUACCGUGUCCCUCCGUUUUUUAAUCGAGAACCUUCUUGUCCUAGUGCCCCUUAGCCGGAUCUCGUACCAAGCCCGAAUCAUACGAUGCAUGAUCGCGUUGGGCUCGGUCUCGUCAGACAAGAUGCAUCACCACACGUCACUAUUGGAGCGUAGUCCAACUUCCAAACUAUCUUAUCGAGUGCUUUAUAAGGAUGGCGAGUCUCCGCCUACUCGCAACCGAGUUUCCGCCUACCUGUCAAUCCACGCGCCGCUGUCAUUUUCACCUUUGAAUUUUUCUUAUUCUCCUCGCUAUCUGCUUGUCCCUUUCCCUUCUCCUUGCCCUGUUCAAGCAGAAGCAACCCCUCCAUGGCGAUUUCCAUUCCGAUCUCCCCCUCGCCGCGUGAUUGAAGAUUUGGUCGGCCGUCGUCUCGCGUUCUUUGGAGAACCAGUUUCCAGCAUGGUUUACAGCUUCAGGUUUCUGAAGGUCUACUGGGAGAGUAAUGCUAGAGAGGGACGCUCACCUAUACAGUGGACAAAGACAAGCAGAUUUACAGCGGACAAGGACGUGCAACUGUCAUAUUUCAAUUGGUUGGAAAAUCUGAUUGAAAACCAAUUAGUUUUCAAUCGGAUGUCAGCGUCAGCGGCCAUGGUAAUCUGCAAGACCUCCUCAACGGUGGUCGUCCACACAGGCGAGCACCUAUUUAAGGUCGUCGGCCACUCCCUGGUCCAAGUAAGGAGUGGGCUCACCUCUGAGACCUUCCGCGUUGGCGGCUACGAUUGGGCUAUCGUCUACUACCCUAACGGCCUUGCCCAGUUGUUUGAUGAUGGGCAGUUCACGUCUGUGUUCCUCAAGUUGAUGAGGCCCUACGAGAGUGAGGUCAAUGCGUCCUACUCCUUCUGCCUCCAGGAUCCUGUAUCUCCAUCGACGGUGGAGAAGUGCAAAUUCAGCAGACCAUCUAGAAAAUUCUUGUUUAGCAAUGGCGGUUGGUGUAAUCCUGAGUUUGUGAGUAAAGUUGAUUUAGCCACGUCCGGGUGCCUGAAGGAUGACUGCCUGGUGAUCAAGUGCACCAUCGAGGUCUACAGUCAUCAAUGA
rnacentral:rRNA from 1 species